rnacentral:rRNA from 1 species
GAUGAACGCUAGCGGCAGGCUUAACACAUGCAAGUCGAGGGGUAUAUUUCUUCGGAGAUAGAGACCGGCGCACGGGUGCGUAACGCGUAUGCAAUCUACCUUUUACAGAGGGAUAGCCCAGAGAAAUUUGGAUUAAUACCUCAUAGUAUAUAGACCUGGCAUCAGGAUUGUAUUAAAGUCACAACGGUAAAAGAUGGAGC